rnacentral:rRNA from 1 species
UACAGAGGGGGCAAGCGUUGUUCGGAAUUACUGGGCGUAAAGGGCGCGUAGGCGGCCUUCUAAGUCGAACGUGAAAUCCCUGGGCUCAACCCAGGAACUGCGUCCGAUACUGGGAGGCUUGAAUCCGGGAGAGGGAUGCGGAAUUCCUGGUGUAGCGGUGAAAUGCGCAGAUAUCAGGAGGAACACCGGUGGCGAAGGCGGGUCUCUGGGCAGUAACUGACGCUGAGGAGCGAAAGCGUGGGGAGCGAACAGG